rnacentral:lncRNA from 1 species
GCCCCGGAAGCGGGCGCUGAGGACCUGGGAGCACGGUCAUGGAGGCACCCGGGGUGCUGCUGGUGAUGGGUGUGAGCGGCUCCGGAAAAUCCACUGUGGGUGCGCUGCUGGCCUCCAAGCUGGGAUGGAAAUUCUAUGAUGCCGAUGAUUACCACUCCGAGGAGAAUCGGAUAAAGAUGGCGAAAGGGGUACCACUGAGCGACCAGGUAACAUCGGCCACGGGUGUCCAGUAUUGCUGUAAGACGCCUCCACAUCCGUUAGCCUAGAAUCUGAACCUCCUCCGUGAAUUCAGCCCCAGGAAUGACCCACCUCUGCCCUCCCUGGAUGCAGCCUGCCACAGCUUUUUUGCAGGACUUUUAAUCUGUAGUCCUCGAGUGGGCAGAGGCUCCUUUGUGCUCGUACAGGGAAGUCAGCGCCUCCCGGGUCCUUUCACUUCCCCUCCACCACCAAGUUCUGGUGAAUUCCACUCCAGGACCACAGCAAUCACGCAAACUCCAAUGUGGCCAUGCGUCUUAGUUACUUUUCUGUUGCUAUGCUGUAAAGCAUGACCACGGCAUCUCAUAAAAAGCGUUAAUUGGGCUUAUGAUGUCUGAGGGUUGGAAUCCAUGACGGUGGUACAUGUUGCGGCAGCAGAGAGAGCUGAAACUUUACAUAUCGAUCUGAGGCAUGAGGCAGAGAGCAAGCUGGGAAUGCUCACAUCUUCUAAAAGCUCAACUCCUCCGCCCAAGGGCAAACUUCCUCCAAAAAGGUGAGGAUUCUUCUUAAUCCUUCCUCAAAACUUUCAUCAGUCGGGGAAGCGGGUAGUCAAACGCCCGAGUCUUCGCGGGCCAUUCUUACUCAAACCACCACACCAUGCCACCACGUCUGAGACUCUCCCAGCGUGUUGCCGAUCUCUUUUAGAAAUGUCAGGUACAUCUCCAAUCGGAGCCACUCAGCUCCUUAGCCACGCCCACCUCCAUCUUCAUCAGAACCACUCAGCCUCUUGGUCUCUCCCGUGACCGUGUUCCUCCUCGUGGGAUUUUUGUGUCCACUGUCCUACUGCUUGCUCUCUGUGUUUCCUCCUUCAUGACUGACUGGCCCAUGUUCAUCGUAAAGUCUCAGAUCCUAGGCCACUCCUUGGGGGAGCCUACUCAGAGGUGGUACUUCCUGUUGAGUUGAAAGUUUUAUAAUCCACCAAAAAUAAGGCUUGCGUGAGAAGUGAAUUUGAGCUGUUUAGAUGCUGUAGUGGUUUGAAUACGCUUGGCCCAGUGAGUGGUACUAUUAGGAGGUGUGGCCCUGUUGAACUGGAUGUGGCCUUUCAGGCAUGGGCUUUAAGACCCUCAUCCUAGUGCCCUGGAAGCCAGUCUUUUCCUAUUUGCCUUCGGAACUAGAUGUAGAACUCUAGGCUCCUCCAUGGUGCCUGCCUGGGCACUGCUGUGCUCACUCGCCUUAAUGAUACUGAACUGAACCUGUAAGCCAGCCCCAAUUAAAUGUUGUCCUUAGAAGAGUUGCUUUGGUCAUGGUGUCUGUUCUCAGCGAGGAAAACCCUAGCCAAGAUAGAUGCAAAAGAAAGGAGAGGGGUGCGGGGUUGUGGGGUGGCAACACUCCUACAGAAUCCCGGGAAAGGAAGUAGAACUUUCUUGGCUGACAUGGGGACUUCAAGCUCGAGUCCCCUUCUGCUACACAGCGGCAGGAGCUGCUUUAGGGAAUACACCCGAGAGGCUGGAGAGGUGGCUCCGUGCUUAAGAGCUCUGGCUGCAUUUGCAGAGGCCUGGGGUCCUGUUCCCAGCACCCACGGGGCACUCACAGCUGCUAGGACUCCAGUUGCAGGGGCUUCCCCAGCCCUUUUCUGGCCCCACUGAGAACCAGAAGCUCUCAGUGUGAGUAGACGCCACGCAGGCAAAACACUCCCGUAAAAU